CUACGGGGCGCAGCAGUGGGGAAUAUUGCACAAUGGGGGAAACCCUGAUGCAGCAACGCCGCGUGGAGGAUGACACAUUUCGGUGCGUAAACUCCUUUUAUAUGAGAAGAUAAUGACGGUAUCAUAUGAAUAAGCUCCGGCUAACUCCGUGCCAGCAGCCGCGGUAAUACGGGGGGAGCAAGCGUUACUCGGAAUUACUGGGCGUAAAGCGCAUGUAGGCGGAUAGAAAAGUCAGAAGUGAAAUCCUAUAGCUUAACUAUAGAACUGCUUCUGAAACUCUCUAUCUAGAAUGUGGGAGAGGUAGAUGGAAUUUCUGGUGUAGGGGUAAAAUCCGUAGAGAUCAGAAGGAAUACCGAUUGCGAAGGCGAUCUACUGGAACAAUAUUGACGCUGAGAUGCGAAAGCGUGGGGAGCAAACAGGAUUAGAUACCCUAGUAGUC
rnacentral:rRNA from 1 species